rnacentral:rRNA from 1 species
CCUACGGGUGGCAGCAGUGAGGAAUAUUGGUCAAUGGGCGCGAGCCUGAACCAGCCAAGUAGCGUGAAGGAUGACUGCCCUACGGGUUGUAAACUUCUUUUAUAAAGGAAUAAAGUGAGGCACGUGUGCCUUCUUGUAUGUACUUUAUGAAUAAGGAUAGGCCAACUCCGUGCCAGCAGCCGCGGUAAUAAGGAGGAUCCGAGCGUUAUCCGGAUUUAUUGGGUUUAAAGGGAGCGUAGAUGGGUUGUUACGUCAGUUGUGAAAGUUUGCGGCUCAACCGUAAAAUUGCAAUUGAUACUGGCAGUCUUGAGUGCAGUUGAGGUAGGCGGAGUACGUGGUGUAGCGGUGAGAUGCUUAGAUAGCACG